CCACGCCGUAAACGAUGAGUGCCAGAUGUCGGGGGUCAAACCUCGGUAUCGCCGUUAACACAAUAAGCACUCCGCCUGGGGAGUACGCACGCAAGUGUGAAACUCAAAGGAAUUGACGGGGACCCGCACAAGCAGCGGAGCAUGUGGUUUAAUUCGAUGCAACGCGAAGAACCUUACCAGGGCUUGACAUAUGGGUGAAAGACGUAGAGAUACGUCCCCUCUUCGGAGCAGCCAUACAGGUGGUGCAUGGUUGU
rnacentral:rRNA from 1 species